CGACUUGAUCAGCAUAUCUGGACGUCCAAUGUUGAAACACAAUUCCUCCAUAAUAUGUGCACGGAGUCUCUUGCUGCCUUCUAAAUUUGCAACUUUGAACAGAUGUUUUUAAAGGUCAGAUAUUCUAUAAAAUGCGCUAUUACAUGAAAAUAGAUCAAAAAGGUUGAGUACAAAAUAUGCGGAACUCUUUCUAUUCUUCCAGAAGCCAAGAAAAGAGCAAUUAUCAGUUUCUUUAGUGUUUUGACUCAUCG